GCAGAAGACUUUUAAGCCAGCUAUACAAGAACUGAAGCCACCAACCUAUAAGCUAAUGACUCAGGCACAGUUGGAAGAGGCUACAAGACAGGCAGUUGAGGCAGCUAAAGUACGAUUAAAAAUGCCACCAGUUCUGGAAGAGCGAGUACCAAUAAAUGAUGUGUUAGCUGAAGAUAAGAUUUUGGAAGGAACAGAAACAACCAAAUAUGUGUUUACUGAUAUAUCAUAUAGCAUACCACACCGGGAGCGUUUUAUUGUCGUCAGAGAACCAAGUGGCACACUACGCAAAGCCUCUUGGGAAGAACGGGACCGAAUGAUACAAGUUUAUUUCCCAAAAGAAGGUCGUAAAAUUUUGACACCAAUAAUUUUCAAGGAAGAAAAUCUUAGGACUAUGUAUAGCCAGGACAGGCAUGUUGAUGUCCUCAAUCUCUGCUUUGCCCAGUUUGAGCCAGAUUCCACAGAGUAUAUCAAGGUGAGUAUAUUUUAGUUUCUAAAAUAUAGGCUUAAGUAUGGUUAUGAGUAAGAUUUUUAAUCUAGCUCAAUGAAUUUCGUUGUAAGUUUUGAUACA
rnacentral:sRNA from 1 species